rnacentral:rRNA from 1 species
AUUGAACGCUAGCGGGAUGCCUUACACAUGCAAGUCGAACGGAGUGGCGAACGGGUGAGUAAUGUAUCGGAACGUGCCCAUUAGCGGUGGAUAACUACGCGAAAGCGUAGCUAAUACCGCAUACUAUCGGAGCGGCAGCAAUCGGAAUAGCUGGUUGGUGGGGUAACGGCUCACCAAGGCGACGAUCCGUAGCUGGUUUGAGAGGAUGACCAGCCACACUGGGACUGAGACACGGACCAGACUCCUACGGGAGGCAGCAGUGGGGAAUUUUGGACAAUGGGGGAAACCCUGAUCCAGCCAGCCCGCGUGUGCGAUGAAGGCCUUCGGGUUGUAAAGCACUUUUGGCAGGAAAGCGGUACCUGCAGAAUAAGCACCGGCUAACUACGUGCCAGCAGCCGCGGUAAUUC